GGCUGGUCCGAGUGCAGUGGUGUUUACAGCUAAUUUAUCACAACCAGCUACAAAUUGCUUUAUUACUUUUUCACUCACACUGCUUCACUUGAAUAGUCUGUU
ensembl:Y_RNA Y_RNA Y RNA